UUAACACACAGGUAGCCAAACGUUCGGAUGUUGGCUGAAGAAAAAUUGGAAAGUUUUUUGGACAAUUCCGAAGUGAUUAUGCAUGAAUAAGUAGCUUAAAGUUUUAAAAACGGCCGAAAAUCCUAGGUUUUCUGCGCAAUGUUAAACAGCGCAGAGUGAUUCGGUUUCUAAAAUGAAACCAGUAGGUUUCUUUGAUGAAUUUAACUUAUUUUUUUGCUUUGGGUUUGUAGUUUAUCUUUUUUCAUGUUUUUUUUUCUUUUUGUAUUAAAAAGAAAAUUUUUUUAAGUAAACUAUUGUUUACAAAGAGCUUUUUAUCAAGAGCAGACG
rnacentral:rRNA from 1 species